GGUGUCAGAGUGUGGCUGGCAAGGAAGGCGUGCUCCCAAUCUAAUGAAUUUGUACAGCAUCUGCAAAAAUAUGCACAUUUGGUUGAAACAAGAUCAGAAAAAUGUCUGCAUUGUACAUUGCCUGGUAAGUUAUAUUCACAAAUGUUUGUAUAAUUUAAAUUGUGAUAAAUCUAAAGAAUGUUGAAUUUAUUGUAAAAUGAGUUACACAUAAG